UUCAACUUACUAAAGCUAUACACUCUCUAUCUCUACACAUUUUUUGUCACUAAUUUGACUAUUGGAGAGUCAUCUUUGGACAACUCCGACAGCCUUUCUUAUUGUUUUUGUUUCACAGGUCUGACAAACAGAAUUUGCCAUCGUAAUUCGCUAACUAGUCACCAUAUUUGUCUAUUUUUUAUUUUCUUUCCGUCUCCACUACCCCACGCUAUCCAUGGCAGUGAAAAAGUAACAAUCUUUAGCCCACCAAAAAAUAGCUGGAACUACAACCCAACUCUUAGAUGAUUUUUCACAUGAAUUUUAUAUUACAAAGUAAAAAAAAAUACAAAAUGAAAUAAACAAAUAGACUCUACAAAAUAGCUAGAGAUUAGAAACAAAAUUUCAAUCAGAGGACAAACCUUUAACUUGGAGAGAGAAAACUGAAAUUUUAUAGCAUAUAGUCUUCAUACAAAACCUUUAGUCUAAGAACAAAAUUGAGGUUGCUAAUACAUAGCCAUUUCAUAAUCAGUUUGUUAGCAUAAACUGUCUUAGAAUACCGUUUGUCAACAAAUUUGGUCAAUUUUUUUUUUUUUUUGUAGGUGAUUAAAAAGAAUUAGUUGAAUUUCACUAUUUUGUAUUUGUAUCUCGACUUUUGGUUGUCUAUAUAAUAAGAUUUUCAUGGAUAACAAUAUAGGAUUUCUCACAUGCACUUGAUUUAAGUGAAAAAUACGAUACCAUUCAAUUUGAAAUUCUAAUUUUUGAAUAAUAGUAAAAUAUUCCCAAAACCCUAAUUAAUGUAUCUCAGAAAAAUAUAUGGAAAAAAAGGAAUUUUUUUUUAUCAAACGAUUUCGAAUCUUGCCGAAAAUAUUCAAUCUACUUGAUUUUCGUACCUACUUCCACAUGAACAUUAUAUAUGAAAUAUUCUUAGUGAAAUUCUACUAUAACAACACCACAUGGAAAGUAUUUUGAGUGAAAAAAAAAAGUAGUUAAAUUAUUAACUAAGAAUAAUCCAUAGCCUUGGAGCUUCAAUAUAUUGGAUGAAUUGUAAGAUUAACCUCUAAAUAUAUAAGCAUAUACAUAAUCUUAGAAUAGGGUAAAGAGCAACUUCAGCCUUGUGGAAUUCUUAGUGAAAAAAGGAUUUUUUUUAUCAAACGACUUCGAAUAAUGCCGAAAAUAUUCAAUCCACUUGACUUUCAAUUCAAUUCGAAACUGUAAUUUUUCAAUAAUAUUGAAAUUCUUCCACAAACCCUAACCUAUCUCAAAAAAAUUCGGAAAACUAGGAAAGUUAUUAACAAACUUGUUAAUGCCUUUAAAUCUUCCGCGAAGGUAGAGGGUCAUCAGGGUUGUUCAUCGAUCAAAGGUGGAGGUCGCCGGAGAUAGUCGCGUGAAGGUGAGUUGUUGCCGGAGUUGGUCCUCGGCCAACGGUGCCUUCAAAUCUUCCGAGAAGGUGGAGGAUUACCGGAGUUGAUCGUCGGUCGGAGGUAAUGGUCGCCGGAGAUAGACACGUGAAGGUGAGUGGUCGCCGAGGUUCGUCGUCGGGGAUGGUGGACGUAUCGAAGUUUCUUUUGUCCAACAAAACUUUGCGGCUCUUGAACUAAUGAAGAUAUUAUAUAACCUUUAUACUAAAAAAGUCAAAAUUACUAAGAAUUUCUGACGAACUGGUUCAAAUUUUUUUAAUGGUCUCCAGGAAAUAUGUAUGAAAAUGUAAAAUUUUCAUCUAAUAUAAUUUUUUUUGUGUGUGUGAACUUUUUUCUUAAAUUUGAAUAAAACUUAUAUAUUUUUAGAUUAUUCUGGACCAUAAAAAAUAUAAAAUUUUGACUAAACAACAAAAAAAGUUAACUAAAAUAAAAAAAUUAAAAAUCAAAGCAUAUAAAAAAAAUUAACACAAUGCUAGGCCAAACUAAAUAUGCUCAAUAGUCAUGACUCGGGAUUAGGGAUGGCAACGGGGCGGGUUCGGCCUCCCCCACCCCCACCCCCACCCCGUUUAAUAAAUUCCUCUCCCACUCCCGCCCCGUUUAUGAAAACCCAACCCCCACCCCGUUUAAUAAUUUUUUUAAUUAUAUAUAUUUUUUAUAUAAUUAUUGAUAUAUAUAUAUAUAUAUAUAUAUAUAUUAAGGAUAUUAUAGUAUAUUUUUUAAAAAAUAUGGGUAAUUUUAAUUUUUUACACAUAAUCGGGUAAUUGGGGCGGGUUCGGGGUGGAGAAGACUAAACCCGCCCCCGUCCCGAUUAUUAAUCGGGUUUUGAUUUCCCCCCCCCACCCACCCCCCCCCCAGUUUAUUUCUCCUCUAUACCCGCCUUAAACGGGGCGGGGCGGGAAUCGAAUUUUUCGGUUCAAAUUGGCAUCUCUACUCGGGACCCCAAAAAAGAGGAAAAGAUUGCAUGAUGAACCAUGAUAUCAGGUAAUGAUCGGUUCUUCUUACUCACUAAUCCUCACCAACUCCAUCUGAUAAUGACAGCUGAAAUUACUAAAAAAUCAUGUAGUGUUUUACCCAUUAAUUAGUAAAAAAUAACUUUACUAAAAAAUCUAAGUCAAACAAAACUCAAUAAAACUAGGCUAAAAAAUCAUUCGUCCAACAAUAAUCAAGGUCAAAUGGGGCCAUAGCAAAAACUCUUUUUUUUCGUUUCACUCGUUCCCAUUGCUUGAUAUCUACCAUCAUCAAAACUAAAAUCAAGUUUGUUACGAUGCAGAUUUUGAGCCAAACAGGGCAUACUCAGUAAACAUUUACGUCAAUAAAAAAAAGGUCCCAUACUAGAACUUCCUUGUCCCAAUUCCCACCUCAUGCAUUCAAUUGUCAAUUUAAAGCUUUUAAUCUCUUCACAUGAGUCAUGACAAACAUUCCCUAAAUCCGGGCGCGUUCCAAGUAAAUUAUUUCACAACACACUGAUAUCUUCUCACCCUUUGGCUUCUUCAUUCUCAUCUUCACGCACAUCAUGGUGCCGUGAUCGCAAAAUAAGAUCUACUUUGGGCCAAAUAAUAUAAUCAAAACCAUUCAUUCUGUAAUAUUCACUUGAUAGAUUAUUCAAAAAAACAAGUUUGAUCACUGUUGAUAGUCAUAUGAUAAGACUACAUUUUUCUUGAACAAAUAGAAUGAAAAUAUAAUUUUGGACAAAUGUGAUCUCUCCGAUAAUGCGACUACGAUGUAAGAUCAAUAUGUUCUUUAUUAAUAAACAUUUUUAAUAAACUCUACAAAAUAAACAUUUUUCAUAACAUCAUUCAACCCAAAAUGAAUUCCACAAUGUUUGCCUAUGUCCCAUCCUCAUCACAAUUCUAUAAAUUUGGGGGCCUAUGCUUACCCUUUGAAUUGGGUAUAAUCAAAACCGUUUAUUUUUUAGGUAUCGUUGAAUAAAUUAUUCAUGAAAAACUCAGAUUGAUUGUACAUCAAUAACUCCGAAAUUGAAUCGCAUUUCUCUUGAAUAAAUGAACAAAAAGUAUGAUUUUGAUAAUAAAACUAAUUGAUCCGAUUUCUAAUAUAUUUAAUUUCUUCUACAACUAUUCUACUCCAUAAGAUCUACAAAAUCAACGACUCGAAUCAUACAUUAUGAUGAAGGAUAAAAUCCCCGCCUAAUAAGGUUAUAUCCAUGAAAUGUAUUUAAGCCAAGGUGAACAUAUUGCCACAGUAUCUGCAGAAAAUCAUGUCACCAAUGUCUCUCAAGGUCGCCAUUUAGUGUAUUCAGGCUUCUUGAAAUAACAUCCAUGCCUCCCACCUCCCACCCAACGUCUCUAAAUCGCCAACUCCAAAGUUGCUCACCUCGCCACCACCUUUAGGUCAAGGUAAACUUAAGGCUCCAUCCUCGUUAGCCCCCUACAGCUAUAGUAUCAACUCCAUUUGGCAUCCACCAACCAAUAAGCCAAGUCCUCGGACACGGCUUUCUUAUUUGACCACCAGAUGAUUGCACCGUGAUCUUCUUACAGGUUUGCAAACUCUCCAUCUAUAAAAGGCCACUCACCGUCCACUAGAGAGGGUAACCACAUUUUCACUCUUUUGAUUCUUAAUCAUACUGUAUCUAUGUUGAACUUUAUCUAACGAAUUCAUCCCGGUCUCAUCUCCACACCAGAGGGGUUUUUAGCGGUUUCACCCACACCAGUGACUUUUGCUUCCUUGCACAGGUCGCCGAAAUCAGCACCGAACUUCCUGAGCAAUUCUGACUAGCCCAACUUAAAAAUUAAUAGCACCUAUGAUAACACUUUUCCUGGAGUGUCUUAAGCAACCAAUCAAUAUAACAAGAAAAAAAGAAUAUUACAAGUCGUAUUGCCUAGAAAUUGUUAUAUUUAUUAAUUAAGUCAUAUUUCUUAACCAAAAAAUAAAUUAAGUCAUAUUAAAACGGAAUUGUUUUUGGAUUUUUUUGCUUUAGAAACUUUAUUUUACAACUUUUGGUUAGAUUUUAUUUUUAUUUUUCUAGUUCCUCUUAAUUAGAGAAAUAAAAAAUGAAAAAAAAACAAUCUUUUGUUUACAAAAAAAAAAAAAGCAUUUUGGAAUUGAUUUAGAUUUUAGUCGCUUUCUAUAAAAAAAAAUUAUUUUAUGAUUUUAAAGACGAGCGAAAAGUAGAAACAAUAAAGAAGAAAAUUAAUGAAAUUCAUUAGAACCAAAAAUGAUCCAACAUUUUUUAUUGGAAAUAUUAAAAAAAAGACAUCAGGGGUUGAUCUCAGCAACAUAUUAAACCCUCUAAUUUCAAUUAUAAAAAAUUAAACCUUAAAAUUUGGAUCUUGUAAUAAUAAAACACUCUAUUGGUCUUUAUUUCAUUAGGAUUGGCAUAACCAACUAAUUCUUGCAAAAAAAAUAAACUUGAAAAAUGAUGACUCUGUUUGGUUCAGAUUUAAGAAUCGGUUUUGUAGUAUAAUUUUUAAAAAUAUUAUUUGUUAAUGGUUUUGAAAACUUUUUUUCUGAAUUGUUUUUUAAAAAAUAUUUUUUUAAAAAAAAUUAAAAAGAUGUCUUCAAAUUAUUAAAAUUGUUAUCACUAAAAGAUGAAUAAUAUGUGAAAAAAAUGAAUAGUUUUGUUCUAAAAAGAAGUUAAGAAAAAAUAUUAUAAAAAAUUAAAUUUAAAAACUCUACCAAACAGAGUCAACAUCUUUCAAAGUUAUUAGAUUUUAAAAUCCUCAAUAAUUGCAAUUAGAGCUCAUUUUUAAUUUAAAAUCGAUGCAAUUAAGAUUUAUUUUUAUGUUAAAUAUUCAAGUUAUUUUUUAAAAUUUUGCUUGAAAGUGAACCCUAAUUGCAUCGAUUAAAGAAUAAUAAUAUUGAAAGAUGUCACUUUUUUAAUUUUUUAGUAGGAAAUAGUCGAUUCUGUCAACCCUAAUGAAAUGAAAAGUUGCGAAAGGUUCUAAUUGUAACCAAAUCAAUUUUUUACAAUUUCAUUUGUUACAAAUAAAAUUAUAGAGCCUAAUUUUUUACUGAGCUCAAACCUUGGGAUUUUGUUAUAGUUUCUUCAAUUUUAUUUUAGAGAAAAUUACAAUAGGAUCCUAGUACUUAUUUUAAUAAAAAAAAUAUGAUAAUUAAUUACUUCCGAGAAAGUCCAUUUUGAGUACCUACCUACCUACCAACCUCAAUCAAAAACUUAAGUAGACAAACUUACAAUAAAAAAAUUAAAUAAUAAAUAAUAAAUUAUCAAUAUGAUUUUUUAUAUUGAUCAAUAAUCAACUUUUAAAUUAUCGUAUGGAUAAAAUUAUAAUUACACAAGAUAACAAAUAAUAAAUUGUCAAAAAAAUCUAAAAGAGAAAAUGAGAAAUUAUCAGCUAAACAAGAGAAUAUCUCAAAUAUUACUUCAUAUGAUAAAUAAGAGAAGUUCUCAAAUACUAAGUUAGUGCAAAUUGACAUAAACAUACAAUUUCAAGUGAAACAAAAAUAUUGAGAAAAUAUCAAAUCAAUUUUUUACAUAAUAAAUAAAAGAAGUUCUUAAACAUUUACUUUGCGCAAAUUGAGAAAAUAUCGCAUAUAAUAUAAUUAAUUCACAACUACUGAGAAAUAAUCAACUUUUAAAUUGGUUAAAAAACUUUUGUGAAUACAAUUCUGGAUUCAGAUUUUAUGUUUAUAUAUGUUACUCUAUUUAAGAUGGAGCCAAAAAUACUGUUUUUCACUUAUCAAUAAAAAAACAUUUCGGUCAUAAAAGAAAAUAUUGAUAAUUUCAUAAUUGUUUUCUUAAGUAUUGUUUCCGUGUAAAAAUAUAAAUUAAUAAUUGACGAUAAGCUCCCGGUUGUUGGAAUUGAUAUUAAUAAUUUUAAGUUCAUUAAAAUUGUAUUUUAAGUAGAAUUUUUAAAUAUUAGACUUUAUGGAAUACAAAUUAAGAGUGUUAUUUUAUGUCUAUAAGUUGAUAUAUUUAAAUUGGAGCCAAAAAUACCCUAUAUUUUGUCCCAAUUUGGUGGAAGUUCUAAACCUGGCUGGUUGGUUUGUAUUUUCGUAAAAUGGCAAACCAAAAGAGGGGAUAAAAUAAAAAAUAAAGGGUUAAUUGGAUUUUAUCCCUCUACACUAUUGGCCUAUAUCACUUAACUAUUGUUCCCUUUAAUUAUUAAAAGUUGUCACUUUAAUACUUCAGUUAAUCGUCAUUAAACAUAAAAUGUUAUAUUACCAUGUGAGCAACUCAUGGGCAAAAAAAAUAAAAUAAAAUUCAAAAUAUAGCUUUAUUAUUUGUAAUUAACCAUUUUUAAGACCGAAACACUCAAAUAUUACCAUAUAGAAAAGGGCAACGAAAUAGAAAAUAUGAUAUCUCUAUAUAAUAUUAUCUUAAAAAUGAUUAAUUCCAAGAAAAAUAUGAUUAUUUUAAGAAUUUGUUUUGUUUUUAUGUCCAAGAACUAUUCACACAGCAAUUUAAUAUUUUAUAUUUAAAAUGAUAAUUUUUAAUAGUUUAAGGGUGUAAAUUGAAUGAGUUUUUAGUUUACGAGGUCACGUGACACUAAAUAAUAGUUUAGGGGUUAAAAAAAAUAAAACAUAUACUGUAGCAGUGUUGCAAGAAUCGACCUUUCGCAAUGCAAAGCGAGAAUCAUACAAAUAACCAAACACCCACACGAUUACUUUUGGUCUCUGAGCUUUAAUAAAACUUAAUUGUUUAAAAAAAAGAAGGAAUAUAAAUAUACAAAAAAUGUCUUUGGAUAUUAAUUCAAUAUUUCAAUGCCAUAUACAUCUGUAAACAAAUUUUUUUUUGAGAGGAUUAUUAAGAGAGAAGGGAACACAAGUUUAUCGUUAUAAUUAAUCUGUGUUUGGUGGCGCAUUUAUAUUCAAUUUAAAGGGGAGAAAUAAAACACAAACAAAUAUACGAAUCACUCUAAUAAGUGCAGACACUAUUUGGUACUCUCCUGUCCCAUAUUAAAAUUUUAGUAUUUUACUUUAGAAUGUUUAAAAAUGUAUGUCCAAUCCAAAAGGUCAAUAAAAAAAUAGACAAUUUUUUUUAUUUUACCAUUUCUUUUAUGUAUUAUUUGCGUGUCAUUUCAACUAAAACAAAGAUCAAAUGUAAUGAUUGCAGCAAUAAAAUUGAAAUAAAAAAAUAAAAAAUAAAUAUAAUGAUUGUGCUCUCUUCUCUUAAAAAGUUAAAUUU
rnacentral:lncRNA from 1 species